ACAACUUCAUUGCAACUUUGAGUCUUAUAGUCACUAAGUGACUUGUUCACAGUCACACUACUCUCAUCAGAAGCAACACUCAAACCCAAGUCUUAAAGAGCAGCUCUCAAUUAUUGGCUACUGAGUAUAUGGACUUUAAUAAGCAAGGAAACAUAGACUGAAGCCAUGAUUUCACUGACAAAGGGAACUCCCAGAAGAAAAAAAUGGCUACAAAUGUCAGUCAGCAUCUUCUCCAAGAGAUGCUUAAGGCAUGGAAAGGUAUUCUUAACCUUUUUCAUGUCCUGGACCCCUUGAGCAGCCUAGCGAAGCCCUUCUCAGAAUCAUGUUUUUAAAUGGAUGAAAUAAAGUAAAUAAGAUU